rnacentral:tRNA from 1 species
AAGACGAAAGUAACUCUACACUCAGUUUCGACCUGAGCCUUGGCCAAAGCCUCGUCUUA